rnacentral:rRNA from 1 species
AGAGCGAACGUUAGCGGCGGGCUUAACACAUGCAAGUCGGACGCGAAAGGGCUUCGGCCCCGGUAGCGUGGCGUCCGGGUGAGUAACACGUAGGAAACCUUCCCUCGAGCGGGGGAUAACGUCCCGAAAGGGACGCUAAUACCGCAUAAGCUCCCAGCGACUCCGGUCGCAGAGAGAAAAGAUGGCCUCUGUAUACAAGCUAUCACUUGAGGAUGGUCCUGCGGCGCAUCAGCUAGUUGGUGGGGUAACGGCCCACCAAGGCAUAGACGCGUAGCUGGUCUGAGAGGAUGAUCAGCCACACUGGCACUGAGACACUGCCCAGACUCCUACGGGAGGCAGCAGUGAGGGAUAUUGCACAAUGGGCGCAAGCCUGAUGCAGCGACGCCGCGUGGGUGAAGAAGGUUUUCGGAUCGUAAAACCCUUUUCUGUGUGACGAGCAAGGACGGUAGCACAGGAAUAAGUCUCGGCUAACUACGUGCCAGCAGCCGCGGUAAAACGUAGGAGACAAACGUUAUCCGGAGUUACUGGGCGUAAAGGGCGUGCAGGCGGCAGUCUAAGUCUGGCGUGAAAUUUCCCGGCUUAACCGGGGGAGGUCGUCGGAUACUGGGCAGCUCGAGGGCGGUAGAGGCGUGUGGAAUUCCGGGUGUAGUGGUGAAAUGCGUAGAGAUCCGGAGGAACACCAGUGGCGAAGGCGACACGCUGGGCCGCACCUGACGCUAAGACGCGACAGCAUGGGGAGCAAACAGGAUUAGAAACCCUGGUAGUCCAUGCCGUAAACGAUGCCAGCUGGGUGUUUGGGCGGCGAAAGUCGUCUGGGUACCGAAGUUAACACGGUAAGCUGGCC